rnacentral:rRNA from 1 species
CCUACGGGUGGCUGCAGUGGGGGAUAUUGCACAAUGGGGGGAACCCUGAUGCAGCGAAGCCGCGUGGGCGAUGGAGUGCUUCGGCAUGUAAAGCUCUAUCAGCAGGGAAGAAAAUGACGGUACCUGACUAAGAAGCCCCGGCUAAAUACGUGCCAGCAGCCGCGGUAAUACGGAGGGGGCAAGCGUUAUCCGGAUUUACUGGGUGUAAAGGGGCCGUAGGCGGCCUGGCAAGCCUGAUGUGAAACGCCGGGGCCAAACCCCGGGGCUGCAUUGGAAACUGCCAGGCUGGAGUGCCGGAGAGGCAGGCGGAAUGCCUAGUGUAGCGGUGAAAUGCGUAGAUAUUAGGAGGAACACCAGUGGCGAAGGCGGCCUGCUGGACGGGGACUGACGCUGAGGCUCGAAAGCGUGGGGAGCAAACAGGAUUAGAUACCCGGGUAGUC